rnacentral:rRNA from 1 species
GAUGAACGCUAGCGGCAGGCCUCAUACAUGCAAGUCGAACGGUGUAGCAAUACACAGUGGCGCACGGGUGCGUAACACGUAUGCAACCUACCUUACAUUGGGGGAUAGCCUUUCGAAAGGGAGAUUAAUACCGCAUAAGACAGUAACUAGGCACCUAGUAGCUGUUAAAGAUUUAUCGAUGUAAGCUGGGCAUGCGUCCAAUUAGUUAGUUGGCGAGGUAAUGGCUCACCAAGACGAUGAUUGGUAGAGGAUCUGAGAGGUCAAUCCCCCACACUGGCACUGUGAUAGGGGCCAGCCUCCUUCGCGAGGGAGCAGUAGGGAAUGUUGGGCAAUGGGCGCAAGCCGGACCCUGCCAGGCCGCGUGCAGGAAGGAGGCGUUAUGCGUUCUAAACUGCUUUUAUACAGGAAGAAACGGCCUUUGCGAGGGGCAUUGACGGUGCUGUAUGAAUAAGCACCGGCUAUCUCCUUGCCAGCAGCCGCGGUAAGUC